rnacentral:rRNA from 1 species
UACGGAGGGGGCUAGCGUUGUUCGGAAUUACUGGGCGUAAAGCGCACGUAGGCGGCUUUGUAAGUUAGAGGUGAAAGCCCAGGGCUCAACCCUGGAAUUGCCUUUAAGACUGCAUCGCUUGAACAUCGGAGAGGUAAGUGGAAUUCCGAGUGUAGAGGUGAAAUUCGUAGAUAUUCGGAAGAACACCAGUGGCGAAGGCGACUUACUGGCUCGAUACUGACGCUGAGGUGCGAAAGCGUGGGGAGCAAACAGG